GACGAACGCUGGCGGCGUGCUUAACACAUGCAAGUCGAACGGAAAGGCCCUGCUUUUGUGGGGUGCUCGAGUGGCGAACGGGUGAGUAACACGUGAGUAACCUGCCCUUGACUUUGGGAUAACUUCAGGAAACUGGGGCUAAUACCGGAUAGGAGCUCCUGCUGCAUGGUGGGGGUUGGAAAGUUUCGGCGGUUGGGGAUGGACUCGCGGCUUAUCAGCUUGUUGGUGGGGUAGUGGCUUACCAAGGCUUUGACGGGUAGCCGGCCUGAGAGGGUGACCGGCCACAUUGGGACUGAAAUACGGCCCAGACUCCUACGGGAGGCAGCAGUGGGGAAUAUUGCACAAUGGACGGAAGCCUGAUGCAGCAACGCCGCGUGCGGGAUAACGGCCUUCGGGUUGUAAACCGCUUUCGCCUGUGACGAAGCGUGAGUGACGGUAAUGGGUAAAGAAGCACCGGCUAACUACGUG
rnacentral:rRNA from 1 species